UCCUACACCGCCUCUCACAUUCGAGCCUU
rnacentral:sRNA from 1 species